CUACGGGCGGCAGCAGUGGGGAAUAUUGGACAAUGGGGGAAACCCUGAUCCAGCAAUGCCGCGUGUGUGCAGAAGGCCUGCGGGUUGUAAAGCACUUUCGGUUGGGAAGAAAAGUUUGGCGCCAAUACCGCCGAACCUUGACGUUACUGACAGAAGAAGCACCGGCUAACUCUGUGCCAGCAGCCGCGGUAAUACAGAGGGUGCAAGCGUUCGUCGGGAUCGCGUGGGGGGACACGUGCGUCGGUGGUGAAAUCCCCGGGCUUAACCUGGGAACUGCAUUCGAUACUACAUGGCUAGAGUAUGGUAGAGGGAAGUGGAAUUUCCGGUGUAGCGGUGAAAUGCGUAGAUAUCGGAAGGAACACCAAUGGCGAAGGCAGCUUCCUGGACUAAUACUGACACUGAGGCACGAAAGCGUGGGUAGCAAACAGGAUUAGAUACCCGAGUAGUC
rnacentral:rRNA from 1 species